UGAGGGAUAUUGGGCAAUGGGGAAGCCCUGAUCCAGCGACGCCGCGUGAGGGAAGACGGUCUUCGGAUUGUAAACCUCUGUCUUUGGGGACGAAGAAGGACGGUACCCAAGGAGGAAGCUCCGGCUAACUACGUGCCAGCAGCCGCGGUAAUACGUAGGGAGCGAGCGUUGUCCGGAAUUACUGGGUGUAAAGGGAGCGUAGGCGGGAUUGCAAGUUGGAUGUGAAAACUGCGGGCUCAACCCGGAGAGUGCAUUCAAAACUGCGAUUCUUGAGUGAAGUAGAGGCAAGCGGAAUUCCUAGUGUAGCGGUGAAAUGCGUAGAUAUUAGGAGGAACACCAGUGGCGAAGGCGGCUUGCUGGGCUUUUACUGACGCUGAGGCUCGAAAGUGUGGGGAGCAAACAGGAUUAGAUACC
rnacentral:rRNA from 1 species